rnacentral:rRNA from 1 species
UACAGAGGGGGCAGGCGUUGUUCGGAAUUACUGGGACGGUAAGGGCGCGUACGGCGGCCCGCUAAGUCGAACGAUGAAACUCCCCGAGCUCAACUCGGGAACUGCGUCCGAUACGUGGCGGCUUGAAUCCGGGAGAGGGAUGCGGAAUUCCAGGUGUAGCGGUGAAAUGCGUAGAUAUCUGGAGGAACACCGGUGGCGAAGGCGGCGACCUGGGUCGAUACUGACGCUGAGGUGCGAAAGCGUGGGGAGCAAACAGG